rnacentral:rRNA from 1 species
GAUGAACGCUGGCGGCGUGCCUAAUACAUGCAAGUCGAGCGAACAGAUGAGGAGCUUGCUCCUCUGACGUUAGCGGCGGACGGGUGAGUAACACGUGGAUAACCUACCUAUAAGACUGGGAUAACUUCGGGAAACCGGAGCUAAUACCGGAUAAUAUAUUGAACCGCAUGGUUCAAUAGUGAAAGACGGUUUUGCUGUCACUUAUAGAUGGAUCCGCGCCGCAUUAGCUAGUUGGUAAGGUAACGGCUUACCAAGGCCACGAUGCGUAGCCGACCUGAGAGGGUGAUCGCGCACACUGGAACUGAGACACGGUCCAGAGUCCUACGGGAGGCAGCAGUAGGGAAGCGUCCGCAAUGGGCGAAAGCCUGACGGAGCAACGCAGCGUGAGUGAUGAAGGUCUUCGGAUCGUAAAACUCUGUUAUUAGGGAAGAACAAAUGUGUAAGUAACUAUGCACGUCUUGACGGUACCUAAUCAGAAAGCCACGGCUAACUACGUG